ensembl:lncRNA
UAUGGAGCCCACUGGUAAGAGACGCUGUUUCUGAAAAUAGAAACAUAGUGAACAUGAAAACCAAUAUGCUGCUUAGCCUGUUUGUAUUCAACGGUAGCAAUUUCGUGCCCAUGUACAGUUUUGUGAUUGCCAUUGUCUGACUCGAUCAGGUAAAGCCAGAUUAAUGAUAUUCUCUUAAAUCACAGAAAAUUAAAAUUCAGACAGUAGAGAUUUAAAAGUACAUUUCCAACAACUCUCCAGGUGCUUUCAAGCUGAAACAACACGAGCUGGCAUCUAUUCAUUGUUACAAAUGAGAAGAGGAUUCUGAAUUUGAGUUCAUUUGCUAGUUCCAUUCUUUUACUCGGAUAUGUUUCCUUUAAUUAUUGUAAUCAAAUUCUAAUUGAUCUUUGCUAAUAAUUAUGGACUCAGCGAGAAAGUUAGUCAUCUGUAAAGCCAAUUUACUGUGUAAUUCUAUUUGGGGCUUCAUUCUCCUCAGUGUAGAUGAUCAUUUUCUCCACCAGGCCGUGUGGGAAGAUCAUGCGUUGGGAGGUGUGUCUGUCUACCCAGAGCUAAUCUCAUAUAAUACCUGAUAGGUCAGCGUAAUAUUUAUUUAGAGCAAAAAAUAUAUGUUUCAUUGCCCUUUCUAUACUGUUAUUCUGCUAUACAACUGCUCAUUUUGAGUCACAUAAUCCUUCAUCUUGUCGCAGAGACAAUUCACCAAACUUUUCUUGCUUUGGGAGAGGAAGGAGGGCUCUAUUUGCCCUGUACUGAGUUCACUUAUCUACUUCUGUCACUUUUCCCUUUUGCUUCUUAGUUGGAGUGUGUGUGGACUCACAUGCCCGUGAAUGAGCAAAGGUAGGCUGCAGUGCAGCGAGUCUUUAGAGAGGGCGAAAAGUGAUCGGUAGAAGGAUCCUUUGUCAGAACGGCAGGUUGGGUGGUUUGUGGCAGGUUCCUCCGGUGGUCGGUGGUAGGAUCCUUUGUCUGAACGGCAGGUUGGGUGGUCGGUGGCAGGUUCCUCCGGUGGUCGGUGGUAGGAUCCUUUGUCUGAACGGCAGGUCCAGUGGUUGGUGGCAGGUUCCUCCUGUGGUCGGUGAUAGGAUCCUUUGUCAGAACGGCAGGUUGGGUGGUCGGUGGCAGGUUCCUCCGGUGGUCGGUGGUAGGAUCCUUUGUCAGAACGGCAGAUUGGGUGGUCGGUGGCAGGUUCCUCUGGUGGUCGGUGGUAGGAUGCUUUUCAGAACAGCACAAGGCAAUCUCAUUUGGGUAUCUAGGGACAUGAAUCCUCCUCCUCCUCCUCCUAAUGCAAAUUCAAUGUAAGGUUAAAUGAGUAUCUUUAUGACCAUUGCUCAACUUUAUUGAGAAUCUGGCACAACACAGCAACUUGCAAGUAGCGCAGCUGUAUGCAUGAUCAUGAAGAUACUCACUUAACGUUACAUGGAAUUUGUAUGAGGAGGAGGAGGAGGUUCAAUGUGCCUAGAUACCCAAUUGAGAUUGGCUUGUACUGUUCCGAAAAGGGAUCCUAACACUGACCACUGGAGGAAACAACCGACCAUACACCGACCGACCGGUAACAAUGUUGCAUCGGCUCCCUCUAAGUCCAGAGCAACAGCCUCAGCAAUAAAUCGGAGUUGCCGAGAGACGGCAGGUGCCCCUCUCCAAUGCGCUACGCUACAGUGCAUGACGAGAUGGAAAUGUGUCAUCCGUCCAAUCGAAUGUAAAUAUGGAAAUGAUUGCUCUUGUGAGUUAAUUAAAAAAGCAUAUUUAAGGUUCACUUGUAAAUGUCAGUCUGAUAAUAUUCUUUACAUUUUUUGACUGAAUGCUGCAGUAUGAUCGUUUAUGUAUAAAAAGCUCAGUACGUUACAUUACGUGUCAUUUAUCUGACGCUUUUAUCUGAAGCGACAAUUAGUGCAUUUCAACCAUAAGGACACAAACCCAGAAGAGCAAGAAACAAGAAAGUGCAAUUCCAUUAAAUAAGCCGAUUUACAACUUGAUAUAGCCAUUAUAAGUACUAUUUUAGUGCUAUGAUUUGUUAGUCUUUUUAUUCAAUGUAGAGUCUGAAGAGGUGUGUCUUUAGUUUGUUUCUCCAACAGGUCUGGAAACAAUACAAUGACAGCAUACACUCUGCACCGAGUGCACAGACAUUUGAAGGAUAGAAAUAAAUGUACUGUAUGUUUAGAAGAAGGGCAUCUGUUCCUCUCAUUUUACUUUUUCAAAUGCUGUGUGCACUUACAAAGCCUUGGUCGGUUAAUCACGGGAACUCUCUCGCUCUGUGCACUUGUCAUUGUCACAGUGGGAAAAAUAUUCUUAUUGUGCACUGUACAGAAUCAAGUAUGAUUUAGUAGCAAAAAUGCAUUAAGAAGAAAUCAAUGGAGCCUUUGUCCCAGCAUCACUCUGACAUCCUGUGUUUGUACAGACAGAACAUCAGCUGUUUGUGGAGAAUCAACAGUCGUUGCAGCUCAAAUAAUGCAAAUUACAUGAGGCAAAGCUUUUGCUUUGUAUAAAGGGAGUCGAUAACAGUUUACUGUUCCCAUCAUGAUCCUUCAGAAACUGUUUGGAAAAAAGUUUUCUUUGAAAUAAUUACCCAUAUUAUGGAUGCUAUUUAUAUUUGUAACAAUAUUACAAUUAUUAUUUAUUUACCUAUCACACAAGGUAAAGGGAUGACUACACAUGACAUGAAUUAAAACAUUUUUUUGCUGUGCGGCUCAUAGUGGGAAAACAGCAUCAUCGGCAUGCCACAGUUACUCCCAAAACUGGAGGAUCUGACUUCAACAAUCUCAAGGAUUGAUUCUGGUGUUUGAAUUGGACAAUAUUAGCUAACCAUUUCACAUUAUCAAUCAACAGGUUUUAGUAGUGUUAGUAGGAGUUAGUAGAAUGGCAUUCGACCUCUGCAGCUCAUCCAGAAUAGAGCAGCUUGACUAGUGUAUAUAUAUAUAUAUAUAUGUGUGUAUAUAUAUACACACACACACACACACAUUAUAUAUACACAUAUAUGUGUGUGUAUAUAUACGUGUGUAUAUAUAUAUAUAUUAGAUUAGAUUAGAUUCAACUUAUUUGUCAUUGCACAGUUACAAGUACUGAGGUAACAAAAUGCAGUUUAACAUCCAACCAGAGUGCAAAAUAGCAAAAGGUGCAGAGUAUGUAAAGUCGAAUAAGUGAAUAAAUAGAUAGAAAUAAAUAAGUGCAAAUGUUCAGUGGCUGGAGGAAGGUGUGUGGCAGUCAAGCCAGGGUGGAGGAGGGGAAGUACAG